GCCUGUCCAAUUCAACCUCUGUGUGGUCAGCCAGAUCUGCUGGAGCUGAGGUCCCAGCUUGAGAGAAUUCCCAGGCACGAGCCUGGUUUUGACUUGGAAGCAGAGCAUAGAGCCCAGCGGAGGUUACUCAGCUGCUGCCCCAAACUAGCCCUUAUACUGUGGCUGCAGAGCUAACUGCAUUGACCAGAGAGAAAAAGAAGAGCAGCUCCUGACGCAGUACCUUGGAACAUAGUUGGCGCUUCAUGACAGCUUGUUCAUUGAUUGAUUGGUCCAGAAGGAUUGGCCUUUGAGCAGGCCAUCCCCUGGGGCUGGAAUGCACUCUCUUCUUAGAAUCACUCUCUUCCUUUAAGGUACA
rnacentral:lncRNA from 1 species